AGAGCUGUAGCUCAGUGGUAGAGCAUCAGUCUUGAAAGCAUAAGGUUCCAAGUUCAGUCCCUGGCAUCUCUG